CCUACGGGUGGCAGCAGUGAGGAAUAUUGGUCAAUGGGCGUAAGCCUGAACCAGCCAAGUCGCGUGAGGGAUGAAGGUUCUAUGGAUCUUAAACCUCUUUUAUCAGGGGAUAAAGUUCGGGACGUGUCCCGUUGUGUAUGUACCUUAUGAAUAAGAAUCGGCUAACUCCGUGCCAGCAGCCGCGGUAAUACGGAGGUGCCGAGCGUUGCCCGGAUUUAGUGGGUUUAAAGGGUGCGAAGGCGGCCGUUUAAGUCAGCGGUGAAAGUAUGGGGCUCAACCAGAGAAUUGCAGUUGAAACUGGGAGGCUUGAGUAUUUUUGAGGCAGGCAGAAUGCGUGGUGUAGCGGUGAAAUGCUUAGAUAUCAGGCAGAACACCGGUUGCGAAGGCGGCCUCCCAGACCAUGACUGACGCUGAUGCGCGAAAGCGUGGGGAGCAAACAGGAUUAGAUACCCGGGUAGUC
rnacentral:rRNA from 1 species